GGGCGUGUGGUGUAAUUGGAAACACCCGGACUCUCAUUGUCUAGCACCCGGAGUUGCCGGUACGACUCCGGCCAUGUCCG